rnacentral:rRNA from 1 species
UACGUAGGGGGCCAGCGUUGUCCGGAUUCAUUGGGCGUAAAGCGCGUGUAGGCGGCCAGGUAGGUCCGAUGUGAAAUCUGGAGGCUCAACCUCCAGCGGUCAUUGGAAACCAUCUGGCUAGAGUCCGGAAGAGGAGAGUGGAAUUCCUGGUGUAGCGGUGAAAUGCGUAGAUAUCUGGAGGAACACCGGUGGCGAAGGCGACGUCCUGGACCGGCAUUGACGCUGAGGAGCGAAAGCUAGGGGAGCAAACGGG